ACAGCCAUAUCACAUUGAAACACCAGUUCUCAUAUGUUCACUGAAGUUAAGCAACAUUGAACCUGGUCAGUACCUAGAUGGGCGACCUCUUGGGAUUACCAGAUACUGUAA